rnacentral:lncRNA from 1 species
AUGAACUACCACACUGCUGCCUCUCCACAGAGUAAACCCUCUAUGUGUCAGGGAGGGUUUUUUAUUUUUUUAGAAGAUUCAGGUUCUCUGUUUAAUUUGUCAUCUAGACACCAGCAUUUCUGGAGCUCAGAUGCUAGCCCAGUCCGUCUGUGGGCCUGCUGGCUGUCCAAGCACCCAAGGGACUCUCCUUCUCACACUCAUUUCUCCAGGCCUCUGCUUUUGUGGGCGAGCACUUGUUGCUGUCUGACUCACUUAAGAAGUACAUGCUGCCUCAGCCCUGCCAGCUGCGAUCUCAGACUGGAUCACUUCUCCAGAUUUGAGGUUAAUCAACUGUAAAUUCCAUUAGCUUCAUACGGAGUGAAAAUAAAGAACAGACGGCUUCACAUGGGAGCCUGGAGUAAGGUGCGGCUCCUCAGGUCUAGCCGGCAGGUAUCCGUUUUUCCCUCUGGCCUCAAAGCAACAGUGGCUUCCACAGGAAGACAGAUCAAAGAAGGGCUGUUCCAGAAUGCCUCAACCGCUGGAAGGGCUCUCAGAGGGCCCCCAUACACCACUGACUCCCUUUUUUUCUGGAAAGAGGUCAAAUUUGAAACCCCGGUUCAUUAUUUUCCUGCCUUUGUGAAAGCGUUUCCUAGAGACUCUGGAGGGUAUGCUGCUGCGGUGGGUAUGCCAUGCUGACAACUGAUUCUUCUGCCUGCUAGACACGAUGGACAAGUGCGAGGUUCAAAAAGGCUGCCAUGACUUUGAGGUGGUCCUCACUUGAGGCCGUAGGCUUCUUUUCGUACGUCCUCAUGUAGAAUGGCUUGAAAACACAAAAUAAAAGCCGUUUUUCCAAAGAUCGCUGAUGUUUUUCAAAAACGAACAAAAGUGAACUUGCUAGGACAUAUUCAAAUACAAGUUGUUAGUUUCUCAUUAAUCUAAGUUGACCAAACAAAAGCUUUGCUGGUUCAAUAAAAGAAGUAUUCCAUGGCAGUGUUGAGUAAGUUAGCAGUUUCCUUUAAAAAUGCAUAGUUCUAUUCGGCUCCUUGUGAGAAGCUUCCCCAUGAUCAGGUGAGAGUUCAAUUUCCAUUUGACUUUUUAAAUGCCAUAUGGUCCCUGUCUACGAGCUUUUCACUUUCCCUGAUACCCUGCCCCACUCCAUUGACUGAGUGAGUGUUUUGCUUUUCGUAUUUUUCCUUGUUUAAUUAUUCACCUCUUCCUACCCCAGAUUAAGGCAAAUAUUGUCACCAUUAAAACAGACGGAAAAACGCAAUAACCCCGUGGCUGGGAACUUAUAAGCCAACCAACCCUGAUCACAAAUGGCCCCUUUCUAAUCAGAGUUUGUGGAGGAAUAAAAGAUGCAAUUGUCUGGAAGGGAUGAAUAUGGGAUCCAUGCUGGCUCGGGGGUCAAAGGUCAUCGCAUGCAAAGGUCCCUUUCUCUCUGGCACAGCUCCCUUUGUAUAGCAUAGUUUGGCAGCUAUCUCCUUGCACUUCGGCUACCUGCCAGUACAGCUGGUACUGCGUCUUGUGCAGACAACAAAGCGUCACUCAGCAACCAGCAGCUCUGCAUGGGGCCGCUUUUCUCAGAUGACAAAGAAAGAUGGGCUAUACAUUCUACCAUCGCUGCCCAUUAAAAGGACUCUUAAAUUGCAUUACUACAAGUUAUUGUUAAUUAUGUAGUAGUCACUGGAGCUGGAGAUCUUUCUGGGGAGGGUGAUGGGGCUGUAUGCUGGAGAAGAUGGAAGUGGGGGAGGGGUGAUGGUGGAAAGAAGGGGUAUGGGGUACGGAGGGAGGGGUGGAAGGGGUGGGAGGGAAAAACAACCCAUCAAACCCUGNNNNNNNNNNNNNNNNNNNNNNNNNNNNCUGACACCUGGCUCAGAUGGUUAGUAGUUGCUGAGGGAGAAGGAAUCAAUCGGCUGAAAGAAUCUCUGAUACAGGCAGUUUGGAAAUUGUUCUGCCCACGCUCCAUUCAAAAAGCUACACCAGAGGUUCCCAGCAUUUUCAUUUAAGAAUAAUUUUAAGCAAUUUAUCACUUGACUGUAAUGCAUUCGCUCUGGGCCGAAAUCAAUAAGUCCUGCAAUGUAGAGAUAAGGCCUGUUUAAAGGUUGGGGGAAGAGGGCCAGAGGUUGCCUAUUGUCAAAUAGCCAGAAAAUUAAAAUUAAAGUGAUAUGUUUACCCCAUUUGGCCAUCUGGGGUAGAAACACAGCUCCAUUGGUGUUGCCCAGGUUUUUUUUUUUUUGAGGGUGGAUUCUGGGAGAUAUUUUUCCUUCAAGGGUCUAGUUCCAUCCGCACUGCUUUAGAAAUCACAUCACUAUAGCUAUGUGCCCCCAAACUAGAAAGAGCUUCUCACGUCUUCUGUUGAAUUCCCUUGGAACAUAUCGAGUGGGCAUUUGUUUUCUCUCACACUGUCUUCCUAAUGCUUCCUAAGGCAGUGACUGAGUUUUUGAGAUCUGGUAAGAGUCGGACACGACUGAAGUGACUUAGCACACACACAGAGUUCGUUUGCUUGUCCCUCCCCAAGGAAUAAAAACACACACAUUUUCUAAAAAAGGUUGAACAUGGGGCUUUAUCAGUCUUCUUUGGCUUAUUUUGAGGGUUUUGGCCACUGAAAUGAGAUGACGCUGCUCUCGAAAUGUCUGGCAAGUUUCACAUGAUGUGUACCAAACUCUAGCAGGGAGAGGAUCCCAAUUUGAUGUAAUUUCAUUGCAACAACACCGCAGCACUGCCUCUCACUCCUCCCCAUCCCCCAAGCUUCUCCUUCACUCCCUCCCCCGCACCCUCCCCUGCUCUGCACUCCAGCCCCCUCCUGCCAAUCCUCUUCAGAUUAAAAGAAAAUCCAAGGGAAACAGGACACAAUGGGGGCAGAUGAAAGUCCACAGUCUUUAGUUUCCAUCUUUCCUUCUUGUGUCUAAUUUUCCGCUUCUUGGUUGUUCUGAUCUCAGCUAUUUGCAAUAGUUAUAUAUAAUUUAACAUUAUACAAAAGUAUUGUCAUAUCAAACAUAGUGAAAUGGAUUCCAAAAACACCAUCUGGUAUUUGGGAAUGCACUGUGAGUUGGGAACGUGAGAAGAGAUAUUCUUUGCCACUUUGCUUGGGACCCAGCCAUUAGCAGUGUGAUUGCCAAGAAAAGGUGACAGGCUCCAGGCUUAAAACAAGUGGGUUCCUCCCCCCAACACACUCUCGCCUGUUAACUCUUGUGAGUCCCAAACCAUAAUAGAAAAGACUCUGAGGACAGAGCAACUUAGAACAACAACAGCCAAAGAACAACAAGCAGAAAAAAAGGACUAUGGAAUCUGAUUUUUAAAAAUAGGAAGAAAAUAGCCCACUGCAUUAUUAUUGCUGUUAUUUUACGAAGACUGUGAAGUUGGACGAAAUAAAAUGAGUCAGAUACAAGGAGGGUGGGGACCGGGGAUGGGUUAAUUGUGCUUUAAAAUUCUGGGGGUUUUCAGUGGAUUUGCAUGAUGAGAGUUUUAGUCCAAAGCUUGUUUCAAAAUCCUCAUUAGUUUCCUCUAAUCCACCUAAAAUUAUGAAGACCUAGAUUGUGAAGGUCGUCUGUGACGAUUCAAACCUAUUUAAUUUCAUGGAGGUUGGCACCCAUUUCUCUAUAGGAAAAAGAAAAUGAAUAGCUUGGGACUGUCUUCUGUGUCUACAGUUUCGGGAACAGCCACAGGAGAGAAACAAAGAAAUACAGACUGCACACUUUCACAGACCUGUACUUUGUUCCACCAGUUGGAGAACUGUUAAAAAUAAAUAAAUAAAGCAUUCCUGAGUAACAGGGGAAAGGAGUUAUCCCAUCGGAUGGAAAUUAGAAAAAGGACUUCUUCGCAGGAGAUAAAAAUAAGCGAACAGCAGGAAAAAAAAAAAUCAACCACUUAAACCUCUCCUAGCUAUGUUCAAUCUGGCGUUCACAACCUGGGUCUGUCUCUGUUUCCAACUACAAAAAUAGUUUACAAGGGUCACAGUCUUCUUUUUUUUUUUCCACACAGUGUGUCAGAAGUUGGGAUGUGCGACCCAGAACUGCCACUCCAUUACACAGAAUAAAAUGAUAUCUGGUGGGUGGAUGGAGAGACUGCCAAAGAAGACACAGUGAAAGCUAACCCUCUCAGUCUAGCUCCUGUUUUUAAAUAUUUAUAUCUCUGGCAGACUUUUUGGGGGUAUAGGAAACUGAAAGCUCUUUUGCUAUCUGUCAUUUCACCCAGGAAGAGGAGGGAGUCUCUCCACUUGAUUUUCCUCGAGUUUGGCACCGGGAACAGGCGAUGGCAUUUCUUCAGGGCGGUGAAUUUCUCUUUGUGGNNNNNNNNNNNNNNNNNNNNNNNNNNNNNNNNNNNNNNNNNNNNNNNNNNNNNNNNNNNNNNNNNNNNNNNNNNNNNNNNNNNNNNNNNNNNNNNNNNNCAGGCGAUGGCAUUUCUUCAGGGCGGUGAAUUUCUCUUUGUGGAAAAACCGGCCUGGACCAAGGAUUUUUACAAGAGCCAACAGCCGCUUUCCAUACCCGCCUGGGGCCGGGCCAAGUUCCCAUUAGCACUGCUGUUACAGCUCAGGCCUGCUCGCAAUCAGCCAGU